rnacentral:rRNA from 1 species
UGGGGAAUAUUGCACAAUGGGCGCAAGCCUGAUGCAGCCAUGCCGCGUGUAUGAAGAAGGCCUUCGGGUUGUAAAGUACUUUCAGUCGGGAGGAAGGUGGUAAGGUUAAUAACCUUAUCAAUUGACGUUACCGACAGAAGAAGCACCGGCUAACUACGUGCCAGCAGCCGCGGUAAUACGUAGGGCGCGAGCGUUGUCCGGAAUUAUUGGGCGUAAAGGGCUUGUAGGCGGCUUGUUGCGCCUGCUGUGAAAACGCGGGGCUUAACUUCGCGCGUGCAGUGGGUACGGGCAGGCUUGAGUGUGGUAGGGGUGACUGGAAUUCCAGGUGUAGCGGUGGAAUGCGCAGAUAUCUGGAGGAACACCGAUGGCGAAGGCAGGUCACUGGGCCAUUACUGACGCUGAGGAGCGAAAGCAUGGGUAGCGAACAGG